GGUCCUUUAGUAUAGUGGUUCGUACGACUCCCUUUCAAGGAGUAGGGAUCAGUUCAAAUCUGAUAAGGAUCA
rfam:Coprinopsis cinerea okayama7#130 cont3.68 mitochondrial, whole genome shotgun sequence.